rfam:Aedes albopictus isolate Foshan contig165524, whole genome shotgun sequence.
GGCCUAGUGGCUAAGGCUAUGGAUCGCAAAUCCGGAGAUAACGGGUUCGAUUCCCGU